GGAUCGCAUUUGGACUUCUGCC
rnacentral:misc_RNA from 1 species